rnacentral:misc_RNA from 1 species
GAAGGGGAAGAGAAACCAAGAAUGGAUCGGAGAGUCCUUCACUCUGAAGAAUCCGAUGGCCAGGGUGGGGCAGCAGAAUAUGAUGACGAUGGAGAGGAAGUAGAAGGGGAAGAUGAUGAAGAAGAGGUCUAUGAAGAUGAAGAAGAGGAAGAAGCUUAUGAGGACGAGGAAGAGGAAGAUGAAAUUGAUGGGUUUGAGGAAGGGAAAGAAGGAAAUGAGAGGAGAGGAGGAGGUGAUGGUGGAGUGGAGGGUAAGGAAAAGGAAGUAGAGGGAAGGAAGGUGGAGGAGGGGUUAGAGAUAAAAGCUGUGGAGAAUCAUGUGGAGGAAGAGGAGGAGGACGAAGAGGGGAAAAAGGAGAAUGAACCGUUUGCAGUACCCACUGCUGGGGCUUUUUACAUGCAUGACGAUCGGUUUAGGGACAAUGCUGGUGGUCGACACAGGCGAACAUAUGGUGGAAGGAAGUUGUGGGAGUCCAAAGAUGACAAGAAAUGGGGGCACGACAAGUUUGAGGAGAUGAAUUUGCCGGAAAGGCGUUAUGAACAGGGAAGGAGGGGUUCUAAAGGUAAUUUUCGAGGUCGUGGUGGGAAAAUUCGAGCUCCAGACCGUGUAUUUGCACGAAGGAACAAAUCAAAGACAUUCAGCAAUGGGAACAAUCAGAACCAGGCACCUAUAGGUGUGAGGGGGAGGGGGCCAAGAAAGUAUGAACCUACAUGGAAGACCAGCAGCCAGGCACCUCCAGCACAAAACAAACAGCCUGAGAAGUCAUUUGAUAGAACUUCACAUGGUAACUCCAGUAGAGUUUUUACACCAACACCAAAUAAAGAAUCUGGUCAAGUGCCUCCUGCUAGAAAACAUUCAAGCUUGAGUUCUGCUUCUCCUCCUUUUUAUCCUUCUGGAUCUUCAAAUAAAGAUAUCCCUUUGACUCAGAAAAGGGAAGUACAAGCUGGAAGUUCAAGCAGGAAUAUUCGUAUUGAUGAAAGUUUUUCGAUGCAGCAAACCAGUGCAUUGAUUCAGGGGAAGAAUAUAGCUGAUUCUGUUGGAAUCGACAAACUUUAUGUUGAUGAUUCUGUUCCUUCAACAGCUGGUAAGUCCUUGAACACUAUUCAAAUGUCACCUGGAUCUUCAUUGGUCAAUAGCAUGCAAUCCUCUCAAUCCAGAAAUCAAGGAAGGGGUGUAACUAUUUCAAGUCAGAUGACUUAUCAGUCAGCCCCUGUGCAAAAUCAAGUCAACAGAGUCUCAUCUCCAACACAGCCCCAUUCUGUUCAGCGGAGUACUGUCCAAAAUCGUGCCCAACCUUCUGUUCAAGCUCCUGGUCAGCAGUUGGGACAGCGUCCUGGUAGUGGAUCUCAAGCUUCUUCACCACCAAAAACAGCUUUGUCAAUAAAUUCUUAUGAUUCUGGAGAAUCAGAAACUAAUUCAGAAACAAGUAAAUCUAGAAGUGCAUUGGUUGGAAAGGGAAAGGGAAGCAUUCAAGGGAGUGGAAGAGGCUCUUUUAUGUAUGGUGGGGCGCAGGUUAUGGGAGCCUCAGGGAAUAUGGGUGUUGGUCAUGGUGAUCAGAACUUCCCUGCAACUCCAGCCUUCUUGCCAGUUAUGCAAUUUGGGGGCCAGCAUCCUGGUGGUAUUGGAGUUCCUGCUGUUGGCAUGGCGUUUCCUGGAUAUGUUGCUCAACCUCAACUUGGUUUAGGAAAUUCUGAAAUGACAUGGCUACCAGUUUUGGCUGGUGCUGCGGGUGCUUUAGGGGCUACUUAUUGUUCACCUUAUAUUGCUGUUGAUGGGGCUUAUCAUGCUCGCCCAUCUGGACAGACAUCUUCUGUGGGUUCUUCGAGCAAAGAUAACAACAAUACUAACAAGUCCAAUAAUGAAUGGAAACUUACUUCUCAGACACCUGGUUAGAUAGUGUCUUUCUUUUUAUGCUUUUGUACUUCAAUCUUGUUGACUUAGUUCACAACAUGUUUAUUAUAUUCUUAUAGGGAAACUAAUUUGUCUUCUCCUGCAGAACUUGUGAAUGAUGAGUUUGGGCAAAGACAAAAGCCUCGCAGAUACUCAGAGAUGGAUUUUAAGCAGCCAAGUCCAAGUACUUAGAUAAGAAGGACCAUAUUUGAAUAAGCAGAUAAAGGCCCUUGAUCAGGCCCUUUUUGUUCUCCAGCUUUUGUUCUGGAGUGCUUUGGGCCGCAUUAUGUUCCUGGAUAUUUUAGUUAUACGUAACAAACACCUGCUCAUGCUGCAGUCAAUUUGAGAACAUAAUUGUGGCUUGACAGGUGGUAGUUUCUUGUUUAAAUGUGAGGUAUGAACAUCAGAGAAAGAUCCCUUUGAUGUGUUGGUUUCUGAAGGAAAGUUGGACAAACUGAUAUUCUGCCAAUGUUUUUGUUAUUUUCAGGUUUUCUUGUGCUUUGGUUUUUC